UACGUAGGGUGCGAGCGUUAAUCGGAAUUACUGGGCGUAAAGCGUGCGCAGGCGGUUAUAUAAGACAGUUGUGAAAUCCCCGGGCUCAACCUGGGAACUGCAUCUGUGACUGUAUAGCUAGAGUACGGUAGAGGGGGAUGGAAUUCCGCGUGUAGCAGUGAAAUGCGUAGAUAUGCGGAGGAACACCGAUGGCGAAGGCAAUCCCCUGGACCUGUACUGACGCUCAUGCGCGAAAGCGUGGGGAGCAAACAGG
rnacentral:rRNA from 1 species